rnacentral:tRNA from 1 species
GUUUUAAUAGUUUAAUAAAAACAUUGGUCUUGUAAACCAAAAAUAAGAUUAUUUCUUUUAAAAUU